rnacentral:rRNA from 1 species
GAGCAGCAAAACCGCGAGGUGGAGCAAAUCUCCAAAAAACGUCUCAGUUCGGAUUGUAGGCUGCAACCCGCCUGCAUGAAGUCGGAAUUGCUAGUAAUCGUAGAUCAGCAUGCUACGGUGAAUACGUUCCCGGGCCUUGUACACACCGCCCGUCAAACCAUGAGAGUUGGCAACACCCGAAGCCUGUAGCUUAACCGCAAGGACGGCGCAGUCGAAGGUGGGGUCGAUGAUUAGGGUUAAGUCGUAACAAGGUACC